UGAGCAGUUUGAAACAUUCAGGUGGUA
rnacentral:piRNA from 1 species